UGUGAAUAUUUGUCCAGCAAGUACCUUCAAGGUCUCUUGGAAGGUUGGGUCCACGGUGUUCCUCUGGACUCCAGUCUUGCGUUUUCCCUGGGAGGAUCUGUCAGGCAGCAGUUUCCAAGUACCAGUACAGACAUUAUUUUGUUAAUUUCUCACACCAGCCAUGAGAAACAAGCCAGAGGAGUAUAAUUAUUUCCACCUCCCAAGUGGGAACACAGAAGAGGAGCCCGCAGCCCUGCCUGGAUCUGCUCCUCCCGACAGGGCAUUACUUCCCGGUAUCGGAACGCGGCCAAGGAGCACCACGCUGCCGGUGUCCCGGCCUCGCGCCCCACCCGUGUCGCCUAAAGGAGCCCGGCCGCUCUGGGACCCAGACUCCACGCACGUGUCCGAUACAGACGUGCACGUUCUCUCGGCCCAAACCACACCAGCAGAAGUGCCCAAAAUUCCGUGGAUGUCAUAAAUCACUAAAUCAAGCAUGAGAGUAAUAAGAAGUUUGUGAUGGGGGAGUAAAAGAAAUGAAGAGGUCCCAAGAUUGGAAAAUCUCAUUAUGGGCCAC